rnacentral:rRNA from 1 species
UUCUCAGGAAGAACACAUGACGGUAUCUGAGGAAUAAGCAUCGGCUAACUCCGUGCCAGCAGCCGCGGUAAUACGGAGGAUGCAAGCGUUAUCCGGACUGAUUGGGUGUAAAGCAUCUGUAGGCGGUUUUGGAAGUCUACGGUUAAAUCCCAGAGCUCAACUUUGGUUCAGCCGUAGAGUACUUCAAAGCUUGAGUAUGGUAGGGGUAGAGGGAACUUCUCGUGGAGCGGUGAAAUGCACAGAGAUGAGAAGGAACACCAGUGGCGAAAGCGCUCUACUGGGCCAUGACUGACGCUGAGAGAUGACAGCUGAGGGAGCGAAUAGGAUUAGAUACCCUAGUAGUCUCAGCCGUAAACGAUGGAUACUAGAUGUUGCCACAAGCAGUGUCGAAGCUAACGCGUUAAGUAUCCCACCUGGGGAGUACGUACGCAAGUAUGAAACUCAA